rnacentral:rRNA from 1 species
UGAUGGGUGAGAACUGAUGAGGGACACACGCGUGUGUGGACUUGUGGUGAUCCUAAGCUGCCGAGAAAAGCCUCGACGUGAGGGCAUGACGCGCCCGUACCCUAAACCGACUCAGGUGGUCAGGUAGAGUAUACCGAGGCGUUCGAGUGAAUCGUGGUUAAGGAACUCGGCAAAAUUCCUCCGUAACUUCGGGAUAAGGAGGACCCCGUGACUUCCCCGCGCCGUGCGUGUGGGUGGGGUUGUGGGGUCGCAGAGAAUAGGGAGAAGCGACUGUUUAUCAAAAACACAGGUGCGUGCGAAGCCGUAAGGCGAUGUAUACGCACUGACGCCUGCCCGGUGCUGGAAGGUUAAGAGGAACCGUCAACACUCCUUUGGGGUGUGAAGCGGUGAAUUUAAGCCCCAGUAGACGGCGGUGGUAACUAUAACCAUCCUAAGGUAGCGAAAUUCCUUGUCGGGUAAGUUCCGACCUGCACGAAUGGCGUAACGACUUCUCCGCUGUCUCAACCGCGAACUCGGUGAAAUUGCAGUACGAGUAAAGAUGCUCGUUUCGCGCAGAAGGACGGAAAGACCCCGGGACCUUUACUAUAGCUUGGUAUUGGUGUUCGCUUGGACUUGUGUAGGAUAGGUGGGAGACUGUGAAGCUGCCGCGCCAGCGGUGGUGGAGUCGUCGUUGAAAUACCAUUCUGGUUCAAGCGGUCACCUCAACCUUGGCCCGUCAUCCGGGUUGGGGACAGUGCCUGGUGGGUAGUUUAACUGGGGCGGUUGCCUCCUAAAAUGUAACGGAGGCGCUCAAAGGUUCCCUCAGCCUGGUUGUAAUCAGGUGGCGAGUGCAAGUGUACAAGGGAGCUUGACUGUGAGACCGACGGGUCGAGCAGGUGCGAAAGCAGGAACUAGUGAUCCGGCCAUGGCACGUGGGUGCGUGGUCGCUCAACGGAUAAAAGGUACCCCGGGGAUAACAGGCUGAUCUUGCCCAAGAGUCCAUAUCGACGGCAUGGUUUGGCACCUCGAUGUCGGCUCGUCGCAUCCUGGGGCUGGAGUUGGUCCCAAGGGUUGGGCUGUUCGCCCAUUAAAGCGGUACGCGAGCUGGGUUCAGAACGUCGUGAGACAGUUCGGUCCCUAUCCUCUGUGCGCGCAGGAAAUUUGAGAAGGGCCGUCCCUAGUACGAGAGGACCGGGAUGGACGAACCUCUGGUGUGCCAGUUGUACCGCCAGGUGCAUGGCUGGUUGGCUACGUUCGGAAGGGAUAACCGCUGAAAGCAUCUAAGCGGGAAGCCUGCUUCAAGAUGAGAUUUCCACGCCCCCUCGUGGGGUGAGAGGCCCCCGCCAGACUAGCGGGUUGAUAGGCCA